rnacentral:hammerhead_ribozyme from 1 species
AUACAGCUGAUGAGUCCCAAAUAGAACGAAACACGCGUCCUGGAU